UAGGAGUGCGUACUCUAGACAGGAAUGAUCCAUCAGCAUCACGUGACCUAGCCAGGUUUCUCUGUCUUCAGCCUUGUCUCAUCGACCUGACGAUUGGGCUCAACGAUACGGCCUACGGGCCAACGCGUCUACACGAUGAAUUCUACCACGAACUUGCUCUUCUUGCUUCUUCCUCAAAGGUUCAAAAAUUAUCCAUAAAAGCUCUUUUACUUGAGAGGAAUGAUCUAUCAGCAUCACGUGACCUAGCCAGGUUUCUCUGUCUUCAGCCUUGUCUCAUCGACCUGACGAUUGGGCUCAACGAUACGGCCUACGGGCCAACGCGUCUACACGAUGAAUUCUACCACGAACUUGCUCUUCUUGCUUCUUCCUCAAAGAUUCAAAAGUUAUACAUAGGAGUGCGUACUCUAGACAGGAAUGAUCCAUCAGCAUCACGUGACCUAGCCAGGUUUCUCUGUCUUCAGCCUUGUCUCAUCGACCUGACGAUUGGGCUCAAGGAUACGGCCUACGGGCCAACGCGUCUACACGAUGAAUUCUACCACGAACUUGCUCUUCUUG